UUGCACAGAUGGAGCUGCGGGGGCCGGGAUUCAGCAGUGCUGGCAGCUCCCUGUCCUUUAGGAACCCUUGAUCUGCAUGGGUCGGGAAGCUCUGGCCAGCCUGCAGUGCUCACUUGCUUCUUGCUGGCUAACAGUCACUUAUUUUUGUUUUGUAUCUGACGGCCACCUGCUCAGAAGAUAUGAAUUCCUUCCGGGCCUGGUUCAGUCCACAGAUGAGGGAGCAGCGUCAUGGGAGGUUAGGUGGACUUGCCCACGGCUUGACCCUCUGCUGACACUCAGUUUCAUAGGUGCCUCAGGCAUAGAGCUGCCUAGUGAGAAGAGAGUCUCCACAGCCUCGGGGCAGAAGAUUUGGGAGGACUAGAGGCAGAGGUGCUGAUCUCACUGCUCCUAGAUCUGCAGAGCUGAUGCUGGAUUUGGGGAAGGCUCACAUCAUCUUCCUUCCAGGUGGUCCAGAAAUAUUCAGAGUGCUUAUACAUGGAAGUCUCACUACAGAUACUGCAGAAAAGAAUGAGGCCCUGUACAGUUCACAGCAAUAAAGGCUACGUGAAUUGAGUGCCACGAGGGAGAAAUAAGCAGGCUGAGCUGACCCAGGGAGGCUUCUCAGAGGAGGUGUUUUUGGGAAUCACCCCAAGUCACAAAUGGGAGGCCUCAGCACCCAAGAGGAUGAAAUCAGCCCGGGAUCAUUCCAGCCCUUGCCGCCCACAGCCACUGAAGUGCUUGUCUGAGUCUUGCUGGAAACAUGGGCCCAUAUUAGUGAUUACGUGCCUUGCAGUAGCAGACUCAAAGCUUUCUCUGCUGAGAAGUUUCCAGCAGUUCCAUCAGUGUGAGCCAGGAACUGAUGACCUGAACGACCUGGAGCAUGGCAAGGUCCCUGCUGCUGGAGGUUUUGGGAGAGGCCAGGCUGCCUCUCUGUGCUGCUGUCCCUAGAGCCCGGAAAGCAAAGGACCAUCUCUGCAGGCAAAGCAGGAGCAGCGCCUGCCAGUAUCUUCUAAAGGAAGUCGGAAUGUGCGGGUGCUGGGUCCGCAGUCACUGCUAAAUGAAGACGGAAUAUGUGGGUGCCGGGCACAGCGGUGGGCCUGUGGUCACUGCUAAAUGAAGAUGGAAUAUGUGUGCUGGGCACGGCGCUAGGCCCGUCGUCACUGCUAAAUGAAGAUGGAAUAUGCCGGUGCUGGGCACGGUGCUGGACCUGCAGUCACUGUUAAAUGAAGAUGUAAUGUGCAGGUGCUGGGCACAGCAUGGAGCCCAUAGUCACUAUUAAAUGAAGAUGGAAUGUGGGUGCUGGGCAUGGCGCUGGGCCCAUGGUCACUACUAAAUGAAGAUGGAAUAUGUGGGUGCUGGGCACAGUGCUGGGCCUGCGGUCACUGCUAAAUGAAGAUGGAAUGUGCCAGUGCUAGGCCUGCUGUCACUGUGAAGUGGUGGGGCGGGGCUGUUUCUACCUCACUGCUGCCCUGUCCAUACUAGGUUUGCUCUGGCCUUCCUGUUGCCUGGGGCCUGCCCUCUCUUGCUGUUGCGGAACAGGCAGGAUAAUCUCUCUCCAGGGCAAGGAAUGCACUCGGGCCAGGGACUCCUCACCACCAGCUUGAGGGACUGUGCCCAACCCCACCUCCUUCAGGAGGGUGUCCCAAGUUCUGUCCUUGCCUAAGCAACUGGCACCUGUGCUCAAAAUAUUUAUUGCCCCCAUGCCAGCUGCUCUCCCACUUGUCCUGUCAAAGGGAGAGUGGGGGCCUGGGGGAGUCUUGCUGCAUCCCAGUCCAAGCCCAUCAGAUGUGGGGGACUUUUGCCCUCUGACCCUGCUCCUUAUGAGGCACAGCUUGCACAAAGUGACAGCCCUGGUGCUACCUGAGCCCAUGGGACUCAGCUCUUCAUCCUCUCAGGGCCUCUUUUGGUCUAGGUGCCCAGGGCACUGAGCGAGACCUGGAGUGACAGGAACACAUGACUCAUGGAGCAGAGGUGGAACAGCCACUCGGGGUGAGUGUGUGCCCUCCCUGGGGGCCAUUCCCUCUCUCUUGUCCUAGGAGCUUGGGGUGCCUGUGCUUGAGGCGGGAAGCUGUGUGCUCCUGGGAGCUGGCCAUGGUGCCAUCUUCUAGGGCCAUUUCUCAUGCCUCCCAGUUUCCAGUCCCUCCUGACUCCCCUCCUUCUGGGUCCUCCAUGGCGCAAUGAUAUAUUUCAUAUUUCUAUGGAAGGGGUGUCAUGUCUCAGCCCCCACACUAGCGCACACACACACGCAUGCACACACACACACACACAUAUAUAUAUACACACAUAUAUAUAUAUAUAUAUGUUUUUUUUUUGCCAAGUAAGCUUGGACUCAAACGUCAGUUUCUUUGAACAGAUUUGUCAAUGACCUCAAAUUAAACUCUCCCAUUUGAGAAAUGGCAGGUGCUGCCCUUAAUACAUCUUGCAGGCCUGGGAGUGACAGGUGUGGGGCCUGCUCACCUCGGAUCAACCCUCUGGGCCUUGGUGAUCACAUCUGUACAAUGAACAUCACAAACAUUCUUCCAGCUCUGACACCCCGAGUUUGUAAAAUGAGGUGAAAACUUGCUGGGCAAGAGAAAUGAUCCAUUAGCAAGGACAUGGACAUCUUCUCCCAAACUCUUAGCUCUUGUCGAGGUUCCCAAGAGCGUACCUCUAUAAAAGUUCUAGAUCUGAAGGCAUGCAACUUGUUAGCCAGGAAAAACACCUUCUUGCUCACUCUUGUCAGACUUUAGAAUGUCAGCAUAUGAACAAGCUGGAAUUUAUAUUCAUAAUGUUGGCCGCUGUUUGGCACUUGCUUGGAUUUUGAGAUAUGAAUUAUACUUGUGAUUGUGUCCCGCUCUAGGGCUUAGGUUACUUUUUAUUUGAGGUUAAUACAUGUGGAGGAUUGGAUGUGGACCGGGUGAGUCUGGCCAGGGACAGAUUACAGGGCCCUGGGUUAUUUUCUCUUGUUCUUUACCCAUUCACAUUGGUGCCAAUUAUUUUGAAAAUGAACGAUGGUCCAUAAAUAUGAGAGCAAAGCCUGGGUGCAUUGCCCUGAGCCUUGCUGUCCUCCCUGGUACUGGUUUGUGCCUCCUCUUCUGGGGUGCACAGGAGAGGCAGACUGGGGCCUGGGGAGAUUGGCAGUGUGACAGCGCUGGGACUGACCCUCAGAAUCCCUAGUCUGAGAGUGACAAAUUACCAAGCUUUCCAGACAGGCUGGUAGCUCCUAUCACCUCUAUUUCUAAGGAAAGAAACAUAGAGACAGUUACAAAUUCGUUGAGAUUACCUUUGGCAAUGCCUUACAUUGCCCUUAAAGUAUAGGGUACACAGGCUGGUGUACAGUACAGAAGCAGUGCAUAGUCCAGAAAUAGCACACCAUAAAUGAACGCUAUAGAGCAAUGUAGGUGUGAGAUGGAUGCAUGUGGGAUGCCAUCUGACAAUACACAUAGAAGACAGAAAAAGGCCAGUCCAUAUGCAUUAGGAUGGCUGCUAUCAGAAGAAUGGGGAAGGUAAGAGUGGGUGAGGACAGAGAGAAACUGGAGCCCUGAACUUUGCUGGUGGAAAUGAAAAAUGGCAUAUCCAUUGUGGAAAACAGUGCAGCAGUUAUUCAAAAGGCAAACACAUAAGCAAAAUAAUCCUGAUGCAGAAACACAAAUAUUGCACAUUCUUACUCAUAUGUGGGAGCUAAAAACAUUGAUCUCGUGGAGGUAAAGAAUGAUAGACACCAGAGACUGUGGAAGGUAGCGGGGAGGAGAGAUGAAGAGGGAUCGGUCAAUGGUUAAAAAGUACAGAUAGGUGGAAGGAAUAAGUUCUAGUGUUUCACAGCACAGUAGGGUGACUUUAGUGAACCAUAAUUUAUUUUGUAUUUCAAAAUAGCGAGCAGAAAAGAUUUGUAACAUUCCCAACACAAAUGUUUGGGGUAGUGGAUAUCCCAGUUACCCAGAUUUGGUCAUUACACAUUGUACGCAUAUAUCAAAAUAGUACAUGUACCACAUACAUAUGUACAACCCUGAUGUAUCCAUAAAAGUUAAAAAUAAUAAGUUAAACAAUAAACGGAAUCACCAUGGGAUCCAGCAAUCCCACUUCUAGGUGAAGCUCACUGAAAUAAGUCAUACACAAAAGGACAAAUGUAGUAUGAUGUGUUUACACUGAUAUGAAGCUACCUAGAAUAGGCAGAUUCUUAGGGACAGAAAGUCAGAUAGAGGCUGCUGGGACCUGUGGCAGGGGAGGAUGUGGAGUUAUCGUUUAAUGGGGACAGAGUUUCUGCUGGGGAAGAUAAGACAGUUCCCGGGGUGGACGACGGUGUGAUUGCACAACAUUGUAGAUGUCCCCAGUGCCACUUAAAAAUGGUUAGAAUUGUAAAUUUUAUGUUAUGCACAUUUUAUUAUAAGAAAAAAAGGAGAGCAAAGGCAGCUGUGGGUGAGUUCAUGGCGUUUCUCCUGAGUUCCAGCAGGCCCUAUCUGUGAUGUCCCACAGUCCUGUUGCAUGGGUAGGGCUGGUGGCAUCGCUGGUCCCAUUUUAUAGAUGACCAAACAAGUCACAGGGACAUACCUGUGUGUUCUCAUUCACACUCCUGUUCAUUGUCUGCCUCCCUACACGGGGGUGUGCAUUCUCUCAGGGCAGGGACCUUGUGGGGCCGCUCACCCCAGUGUUCUCAGGGCCUGGCACAUAGAAGAUAUUUGCACUGAAUGAAGAAGUGAAUGGCACACUUCAUGUGAGGCUGGCCCCGGAGCUAGUAAGGAGCAGGCCCAGAACACUGCCCAGUCCUCCUGCUCUGGCCCUGUAUUCUCCAGUGCCUCAGGCUGCCUGGAGGGUGAGUGGGAACACCAUACACAUGAAGCACCUUCCUACCCCAAACCAGGGCAGAUGGCCUCUGAACAGCUGCACUUGGACAACAGGCCUCUGCUUUGGGGUCACCCCAUUUUCUUGGCUGGAACUCCUCCCAGCCUCCCACUCCACCCUACUUAGACCCUGUCCCAGUGCUGGCAGGUGUGCCCACAAAGGUGUGGCCUCUUCUCCUGUCUCCCGACCUCUGGACCCAGGCAUAUUCUGCUUCCUCAGUCUUGGGCCAGAGUGGGAAGCUGACCUCAUCCCUCCCAGGGUGGCCAAGAGCCAGUGGCUGACCCCAGGCUCACCCCUCACCUGUGCAGCCUCCUUUUCCUCCCACAUCCUCCUCCCAGGUGGGCCUGUGCCUGGGGUUACCAUUGCAACUCCACUUCUCCCCACCCCGGCACAGUGUGCCUGUCUGAUCUGUGCUGGCCACAGAUCCAGAGGCUCCUUGCUGAGCCUGCAAUUGCUGCCCUAGUGGACCCAGUUACACCCCUGCUUUUUGGGUGUGGUGUGGAAAAGGCCAGGAAGGGUAAAGAGUAGAAGAGAAGGAAGAGGGAAGGAAAGGCCUGUCUCCCACCACACCCAUCCUUUUAUGAAGUCAGGCUCUGAGAGUGACAGGGAGUGAUAGGCUUGUAAAAUUGUAAAAACUACUGGGCACAGACAUGAUUUGCUAGCUAAGCAUGUGAGCAUCUGUCCUCCAGUCUCUUCUUAGCCUGCACCCUGUGUUCGAGGUUAUGGCACCAUCAGUUUCUUCUGCUUCAAAAGAGCCUAAAGUGGCUCAUCUCUUCUCAGUCCUGGUCCUUGGUUUAAGCCUUCUGAGGCUUCUAACUUGGCUGAUAACAUUGGCAUCUGCCAAUACCUCAGGCUUAAAAUCUCAGGGCCAGCAUUUGCUCCUAGUUUUCCUUUAGUGCUUCCCAGUUCAACAGAAGUCCUGCCCUUUCCACCUCCCUUGCUACCACCCUAGUGGCUGCUGGGGCCCCAGGGUCUGCCUAUUUAUCCUCUGAUGCGGUGCCAUUGACCGCUGACUGACUCUCUGCCACACGACAGCCAGGGGGUGGCUCAAAAAACACAGAACCACCAUAUUAUUCCCCAGUGUAAGAUUUCAACAGCUUUCUAGUUCCUGCGGGUCAUGUAGGCAGCCCUCACCAGGCUCUGGGACAAUAGUGUGCUGGCUGGUAUACAUUUAACAAAAACUGUCCGGGGAAAAAGCCCUUACAUAUAUGUAGCAUUUGCCAAUUUCUGUGGUAUAAAUACCCCCACUGUGGCUGAUUUCAAGUCAUCCACAUGAUGUCACUGAGUGAAGGGCUGGGAAGAGAUGCCUAGAAUCACAAUGUUAGACAGCAUCUCCCCCGUGCAGUACAACGGACACUAAAUGACCAAGAGCAGAGGUAAGAGGAAAGAAAAUGUAGUCAAAUAAUUAGGAUGUGAUGAGUUUGGGGGUACUUAUUACACUUUAUCUAAUGUAUUUAAUUGAAAAUAACUUAAUGAUGGCUUUGUUUAACAUCCAGCUCUAAAAAUAGCUGAAAAUUUAACCAUUAGCUCUCACAAGCUAGCACAAGUCAGCUGCGGUGCAUAACUGCCUGUGAGCAAGGUUGUCUCCGUUUUGACUGGGGGUAUAGCGAAGGGCCAUGGGUUUGGGAGUCCAGUCGAGUUAACUUGCACAUGGACCCUCCUCUGGUUUCCAGUGAUCAAGUCCAGCAUGGUAGGUCUUGUCCUACUCUAGUUUCUUGAGCGGAAUCUCAGGUCCUCCAUAAAGUGGUCCUGUCUUGCAGUUCUCAGUUUCUUUCAACUUCAAGAGUCUGUCUACUCCUGUGUGUGUUUGUGAUAUAGUUGCAGCAGCUGGAGCUAGGCCCUGCCAUGACCUCUGCAGGGUGCACAGGCCAUGCCCUCCAUGUGGCUGUGCUUUGCCUGACCACCCAUCUCCUUGGCACCAUCAUUCUCACAGAGCUGGAAGGCAGAAGCUCUGUCCUGUAACCAGUGUGGUGGGGUGGGCUAGACCACCUGUGGCCUGGGCUCUGUGUCUGCAGCCCUCUUGCUAUGCUGAAUGAACACUGUUGGAUGUCACUUGAUGGCUCCCUAGAAGAAAUUAGUGGAGUUAGACUUCUGCCUGCAGAGGAAAGUGUAUUAGAAACAAAACCAAAGCCUAAUCAAACAAAAGAAGCUCUGAGCUUGCACAUCAGGUGUAUUGUCUUCUGCAAAUGCACGAAGUUAGAAAAGGCCAGGAAGAUUAAUGAGUGGAAGAGAAGGAAGAGGGAAGGAGAGGCCUGUCUCCCACCAUGCCCAUCCUUUUAUGAGGUCAGGCUCUCAGAGAACUGCUGCUUUUGCUUAUGGAGUCAGAACAGACCCCAGCGACCUUCACACCUGCCUAAAGAGCUCAAGAAGAAUCCAGCCUCUGAAUCGAGAUCACUUCUUUUUCUCCCAAGGAGGGGCUUGUGCACACUUGGGAAAGCCAUCCUCAGAUUUGGAUCCACACUGAAGUGAGUGCUAGAGGCACACUCCAGAGCCUGAGAACCUGGAGGACAGGCCAUCCUGGACACCAGCAUGGAGUCAGCUAUCCGUGGAAUCGAAAUACAAAGCAUCACACACCCAACACUUCAUCUCUAAUUCGUGUACCCUUUUCAUUUGAGGAACCACAAUGCAGAUGAAUUGGAAAAGCCCCUGGACUCUGGUAAAAUGCCAUUUGAAAUUGUUAUAUGGUUUUCCAUUAGGAGAAGUUCAAGGAAUUGGUAAGACUUACGGUGGACAUUGUACAGAUCAUUGCAUAAUAAUUUUUCUUUGCAAUUAAUUAAUCUUCAUCUCUGACAUUCACUUCAAAUAUGUGAUGAUAAAAUGGGAAGGGAUCCUUGCUUGGG